AUUGACAUAAGGUGUUAAAGUGAUACACUCAAUGUUUACAUUUGUUUAUAGGACCUUAUCUAAAAAGAUCUUUUCAAACACUCGUUAGUUAAAGUAAAGCACGACGGAAUGGACGGAAUACAGCUCUUAUUAAAUAAAUCAAGAAUUACUUUUUGUCACCUCUACCCAAUUUUGAUUAAACGCAACUCCGACAAACGCCAGAAUCAUUUUACAGUAGAGACCCUAAUUUAGGGUCCCUAUUUUACACGUCAUUUAGUUUGAUUGUCAAAGUGUUCAAAGUAAACAAAAACAAAAUCCAUCGAUGUGAUGACCGUGUUCGAAAGAAAUCGGAAAACAGCUUUGUGCUCGGAAAAUGGACUUGAAGAUCCUGCAGGAAAUACAACCUAGGCGCGCGAUGGCGCUGAAUUUGUGCACGAGGGUGUCUAGGAUGUAGUUCUGCUGCAAAGCAACGCCACCCUGCCGGAAAAGCCGGACGCGUCCCCCCACAACGUCCUGCUAAAACGUGCUCGGUCGAAACACAAAGUCGCUGCAUUCGAUGCAAACAACUAGCCCACGACGCCGACCUGACGAUCCAGGAAGCUUAAACAAGUCUGGAUCAAACUUCCAUCGCGGUCAUCAAAGCUAUGGAGGAUUCGCAAGCUACGACUAGUGAUAACACUUGAUCGCUGGGCAUGAGGGGGUUUGAUGGCGACCACGUGCUCUCCGACGACGGAACCCGUCACGCUGCCAUCUGGUGCCUCCUUCGCGCAAGUGGUUUCAGUUCAGAAGCUCCCUGUUAGCAGCUACCAUAGUCCAGUACACUGUGUCAAGUGCUUCAUAGGUCAUCGGUGUCCACUUUUUCACUAUUCUACAGUUACAACAUUUGCUGGAGUGUGAGCAUUUCAUUGAAAUCCACGACAAAAUUUGGCUCAUUUUACGCGAUUUUAAUCGACGGUGUACAAUUCACUGCUGAUUCGCUUAACCGUAAGUAAUUCAUGGUUUUAAUCGCCCUAAUCCCCUAAUGAAUUCCGUAGAGCUAAACUCACAGCUAUUUUUUUAUUUUCAUAUA
rnacentral:lncRNA from 1 species